AGUGAACGCUGGCGGUAGGCCUAACACAUGCAAGUCGAACGGCAGCACAGUAAGAGCUUGCUCUUACGGGUGGCGAGUGGCGGACGGGUGAGGAAUACAUCGGAAUCUACUUUUUCGUGGGGGAUAACGUAGGGAAACUUACGCUAAUACCGCAUACGACCUACGGGUGAAAGCAGGGGAUCUUCGGACCUUGCGCGAUUGAAUGAGCCGAUGUCGGAUUAGCUAGUUGGCGGGGUAAAGGCCCACCAAGGCGACGAUCCGUAGCUGGUCUGAGAGGAUGAUCAGCCACACUGGAACUGAGACACGGUCCAGACUCCUACGGGGGGCAGCAGUGGGGAAUAUUGGACAAUGGGCGCAAGCCUGAUCCAGCCAUACCGCGUGGGUGAAGAAGGCCUUCGGGUUGUAAAGCCCUUUUGUUGGGAAAGAAAAGCAGCAGGUUAAUACGCCGCUGUUCUGACGGUACCCAAAGAAUAAGCACCGGCUAACUUCGUG
rnacentral:rRNA from 1 species